AUGGGCAGGGCUUAUCAAACCGCAGCUGAAGAUGACCAAAAUGACCAUGAGGUAUUGCAGAGUGGACACAUCUACUUUCCUGUGGAUCCCGCUGCCCCGAGGAGUUUAAUGCGUCUAACUCCACCCGCCUGGUGCUCCAAGCCGGCUAAAACAAAGCAACCUUUGGUGCUGGGAAAUGCCAGAAACAAAAGCUGCAUGGCUUUACUGUCUCUUUUACUUCCUGGUGUCUUCAACCUGAGAAAUGUUCAGAUUAAAGUGAUGAAUGCUGCUGUCGCCACAUCGCAGGUGUUAAACCUACAUGUUUAUUUGCAGGGAACGUUUUAUCGGAUAUUCCCGCCUGAUCUCAUCACCGAUCGUCAUGUAGAGAAACCUCCUGCGUCACCAUGGCGACGGCCGCCUGUAGCGCGGCGGUUUGCGUGUGGUGAACGAUGUGAAACGCUUAACGCGGUAACGAGUGGCUUGUGUUGUGAAACUCUUCUCGGUUUGAUUUAA
ensembl:lncRNA